UGUCUGGUGUCAGCCGNCCGCCGGGGGUUUUUAAAAAAUACCAGCACNCCCGAGUGUCAGGAACGUUUUUAUUGGGCCCUAAAGCAUCCGUAGCCGGCUCUGCAAAGUCUUCGGUUANAAAUUCCACCUGCUCAACAGAUGGGCCGCUGGAGAUACUACAGGAGCUAGGGAGUGGGAGAGGCAGACGGUAUUCAGUGGGUAGGGGUAAAAUCCUCUGAUCCAUUGGAAGGGACCACCAGUGGCGAAGGCGGUCUGCCAGAACACGUUCGACGGUGAGGGAUGAAAGCUGGGGGAGCAAACCGGAUUAGAUACCCGGGUAGUCCCAGCUGUAAACGAUGCAAACUCGGUGAUGCAUUGGCUUAUGGCCAAUGCGGUGCCGCAGGGAAGCCGUUAAGUUUGCCGCCUGGGAAGUACGGACGCAAGUCUGAAACUNUAAAGGAAUUGGCGGGGGAGCACCACAAGGGGUGAAGCCUGCGGUUCAAUUGGAGUCAACGCCAGGAAUCUUACCCGGGGAGACAGCAGAAUGAAGGUCAAGCUGAAGAUUUACCAGACAAGNC
rnacentral:rRNA from 1 species